rnacentral:rRNA from 1 species
UGAGUGGCGAACGGGUGAGUAACACGUGAGUAACCUGCCCCCUUCUUUGGGAUAACGCCCGGAAACGGGUGCUAAUACUGGAUAUUCACUGGCCUUCGCAUGGGGGUUGGUGGAAAGGUUUUUCUGGUGGGGGAUGGGCUCGCGGCCUAUCAGCUUGUUGGUGGGGUGAUGGCCUACCAAGGCUUUGACGGGUAGCCGGCCUGAGAGGGUGACCGGUCACAUUGGGACUGAGAUACGGCCCAG